UCAGGGAUUCCGAUAAAGGACCUGUUCCUGGAAAAGGACUACCUCCAGAGAGAUUUGCCAGAAAUGUGGGCUCGGUGUGGCGAGGGGAAAUACGCCUCAGCUCAUUGGAUGGGGAUAGGGGGAGGCCUGCCUUCAGGUUCAGACCCAGGGCAGGAGUUCGAGGACUGCCCUCCUGCUGAUUUGAAUAAGCACCGGAACCGGAUACCGAGGAGGAGAGGCUACUCAAGAAAGAGGAAGAGGCGGGCUUUUCCGACCCCCACGCCCCUGAGAUGAUAAAGCUGCAGCCCACCUCGUCCUGGGGCAGAGCCUCCUUGCCUGCCCGCUUGCAUCUCUCACCAGCGUCCUAUCCUAACACCUCUGUUUCGUGCCCAUCACUUUGUCUCUCGCUGAAUUCCUUCUGCGUGGAGACAUAGAGAACCUCAACCUCAGUGAGUCCAGACACAGGAGGAGAGCGUUUCCCAGAUUCCUUGUCCCUGAGUGAGGAUACGUGCCUGGUUCUGGCCAAGGGGCUGUGGCUGAUACAGCAGGUGUCACUCUGAGUCAAAGCAAAGGAUGUGCAGACAUGAAGUCUCCAUGCUCUCUCUUCUUCACCCCUUGUCUCAAGGUGUCAGAGGCACCAGCUUAUGAGGGAUGUUUGAUUGUCAGCACCUCCACUUUACAGAAGAGGACACCUGGGUAUGAUGAUAAGCUGCCCAAGGUCCCAUAUCUGGUGCUUCAUAAUCCUGGCAAAGCCACUAAGCUGAACAGAGCUGCAGAAAUUCCCUGGCUUUCCUUCCCGAAGAUGUCGAUCAAUGAGGGCUCUCGCGGCCUUUGAUGUCAGGCAUCCACGCCCGCUUCUGUAAAGACUUUCGGCUCCACAAGAGAACGGGAAGUCACUGUGAAGAAAGAGGCAGGCGAUGUAACCGGAAAAGCACAGGUUUGAUGUCAAACAGACCUGCGUGGUUCCACCGCUUUCCGACUGUGUGACACCUCCCUCCCCCACCCCCGGCCCAGUUGCUCUCUGAACCCAAGUCUUGGAAAAUGGAACCAAUAACACUUGUUCUUCAAGACUGUUUCUGCUGGAAGCUCCAAGAUUCAUCUGAAGGCGUGAUCACAUCCUCAAUGUUGAGUGGACCAUGAGCCGGCUGCCAGAGACAGGGUUCCAAGCCGGGCCAGGCCCAUCCCAAUGCCCACCCGAAAAGAAGGGACAGAGGAAAGAAAGAAACAAAAUCCUGGGGCUCCACUGGCUUUCUUUUUGACUCCAGCUGAAGUUGCUGCAUAGUGUGGCCUUGCCAGUCCUCGCCUUGAAAAGGCUGGAAGCGACUGCCGUGAUGGAUCAUCUAAUCCCACAGCCUCAUUUUGCAGAAGACCCCGCGCCUCGACUUGGCCAAGGUCACA